UUUCUCUCCUUAUCAGCAGUGAACAAAGAGCUCAGUAGCUGGGUGGGGAAUCCAGGAAGAGUGUGUCUCAGUGGGAACCUAGACUGAAGCCACUGACUGGCUGUAGAGUUCUCUCUUUAACUUCCAGGACUCAGCUUGCUGUGGCUACUCGAUGCUGGUCAAGUCCACUAAUUGCAUCAGCCUGAGUCUGGCUUCCUCUACGGAUGCCAACGGUGCCACUGACCCCAUACCUCGGUGUGGUUCCUGGUGAGAAAAGGGAAGUACCUUACAUCUAGAGGCCAGUGCUUGGGGGACCUAGAAUGGGCCUGGAGCAGAUCUCUGCCUCCCUAGCCUAGCCUUGAUAUAGGAUUUGAUUUCUCUGGAGAGAUUGCUCCCAACCCCCUGCCACCACCCCAAGAUGAGCCACCUUUCUCUACUCUACUUGCCCUUCAGAGCCAGUUUUCCACGUAGGACUCAGAAGACAGCCUACAAGAGUUGAUUCUUGGGCUGGAGAGAUGGCUCGGCAGUUAAGAGCACUGAAUGCUCUUCCAGAGGUCCUGAGUUCAAUUCUCAGCAACAUGGUGGCUCACACCAUCUGUAAUGUAAUCUGAUGCCCUCUUCUGGUGUGUAUGAAGACAA